rnacentral:rRNA from 1 species
UACGUAGGGCGCAAGCGUUAUCCGGAAUUAUUGGGCGUAAAGAGCUUGUAGGCGGUUUGUCGCGUCUGCUGUGAAAAUCCGGGGCUCAACCCCGGACUUGCAGUGGGUACGGGCAGACUGGAGUGUGGUAGGGGAGACUGGAAUUCCUGGUGUAGCGGUGGAAUGCGCAGAUAUCAGGAGGAACACCGAUGGCGAAGGCAGGUCUCUGGGCCACUACUGACGCUGAGGAGCGAAAGCGUGGGGAGCGAACAGG